rnacentral:rRNA from 1 species
UACGUAGGGGGCAAGCGUUGUCCGGAAUUAUUGGGCGUAAAGCGCGCGCAGGCGGCUUUGUAAGUUUGGUGUUUAAUCUCAGAGCUCAACUCUGAUUCGCAUCGAAAACUGCAAGGCUUGAGUGCAGAAGAGGAAAGUGGAAUUCCACGUGUAGCGGUGAAAUGCGUAGAGAUCGGGAGGAACACCAGUGGCGAAGGCGGCUACCUGGACCAGCACUGACACUGAGGCACGAAAGCGUGGGGAGCAAACAGG